GGUUUACCUGUGUGACUGCGUACCUUUUGUAUAAUGGGUCAGCGACUUAUAUUCUGUAGCAAGGUUAACCGAAUAGGGGAGCCGGAGGGAAACCGAGUCUUAAUUGGGCGUUAAGUUGCAGGGUAUAGACCCGAAACCCGGUGAUCUAGCCAUGGGCAGGUUGAAGGUUGGGUAACACUAACUGGAGGACCGAACCGACUAAUGUUGAAAAAUUAGCGGAUGACCUGUGGCUGGGGGUGAAAGGCCAAUCAAACCGGGAGAUAGCUGGUUCUCCCCGAAAGCUAUUUAGGUAGCGCCUCGUGAAUUCAUCUCCGGGGGUAGAGCACUGUUUCGGCUAGGGGGCCAUCCCGGCUUACCAACCCGAUGCAAACUGCGAAUACCGGAGAAUGUUAUCACGGGAGACACACGGCGGGUGCUAACGUCCGUCGUGAAGAGGGAAACAACCCAGACCGCCAGCUAAGGUCCCAAAGUCAUGGUUAAGUGGGAAACGAUGUGGGAAGGCCCAGACAGCCAGGAUGUUGGCUUAGAAGCAGCCAUCAUUUAAAGAAAGCGUAAUAGCUCACUGGUCGAGUCGGCCUGCGCGGAAGAUGUAACGGGGCUAAACCAUGCACCGAAGCUGCGGCAGCGAA
rnacentral:rRNA from 1 species